UACGUAGGGGGCGAGCGUUGUCCGGAAUCAUUGGGCGUAAAGAGCGUGUAGGCGGUCCGAUAAGUCCGUCGUGAAAACCCGGGGCUCAACCCUGGGCUUGCGGUGGAUACUGUCGGGCUAGAGGAUGGUAGAGGGGAGUGGAAUUCCCGGUGUAGCGGUGAAAUGCGCAGAUAUCGGGAGGAACACCAGUAGCGAAGGCGGCUCCCUGGGCCAUUCCUGACGCUGAGACGCGAAAGCUAGGGGAGCGAACAGG
rnacentral:rRNA from 1 species